ACCUUCUCCUGCAGCACAGCCUGGAGCCCGACUACUGCACGGUGGUAGAAAUUACAGCCCAGGAGGCUCCAUAGUGAAGGGUUGUCAGAGGAGGACACGCCUGCCCCCAGGUUCCUACAAUAUAGGAUCCGCUCAGUGGAUAUCUUCUAUAUAAGACCCCUCUCCUGAUUGACCCAUUAAGGAUGGACAGGAACAAGAUAACGGAGAGGAUAAUAAAUCUCACCCUAGAGAUCCUCUUCCAGCUUACUGGAGAGGACUACACAGUAGUGAAGAAGACCUCUAGUGAGCGCUGUCAGGACCCUGUGUCUGAGGAAUGGGGAAGAACCCUUAGCCCAAUCAUGGGACCUCUACCUCACCCCCUGAUACAUGAGGAAAUCAAUAGAGAGAAGAUCCUAGAACUCACCAACAAGAUGAUUGAGCUGCUGACUGGAGAGGUUCCUAUAAGGUGUCAGGAUGUCACCGUCUAUUUUUCCAUGGAGGAG